UACGUAGGUGGCAAGCGUUGUCCGGAUUUAUUGGGUUUAAAGGGCGCGUAGGUGGCGGCCCAAGUCCAUGGUGAAAGCUCGAUGCUCAACAUCGAGUCGGCCACGGAUACUGGGUUGCUCGAGCACUGUAGGGGCAGAUGGAAUUCCGGGUGUAGCGGUGGAAUGCGUAGAGAUCCGGAAGAACACCGGUGGCGAAGGCGGUCUGCUGGGCAGUUGCUGACACUGAGGCGCGACAGCGUGGGGAGCAAACAGG
rnacentral:rRNA from 1 species